CUACGGGAGGCUGCAGUGGGGAACAUUGGACAAUGGGGGAAACCCUGAUCCAGCAAUGCCGCGUGUGUGAAGAAGGCCUGCGGGUUGUAAAGCACUUUCGGUUGGGAGGACUGCUUCUAGCACUAAUAUUGUUGGAAGUUGACGUUACCUCCAGAAGAAGCACCGGCUAACUCCGUGCCAGCAGCCGCGGUAAUACGGAGGGUGCAGGCGUUAAUCAGAAUUACUGGGCGUAAAGCGCGCGUAGGCGGCUAGAUCAGUCGGGUGUGAAAGCCCCGGGCUUAACCUGGGAACUGCAUCCGAUACUGUCUAGCUGGAGUCCAGGAGAGGAGAGUGGAAUUCCACAUGUAGCGGUGAAAUGCGUAGAUAUGUGGAGGAACACCAAUGGCGAAGGCAGCUCUCUGGCCUGAUACUGACGCUGAGGUGCGAAAGCGUGGGGAGCAAACAGGAUUAGAUACCCGAGUAGUC
rnacentral:rRNA from 1 species